AUUCGUUGGCCAUCCAUGUUGGCUCUCCGUUGUUGUGCGCGGGUUGCUAGCCGGUUUGAGGGUGCAUUCCUCCUGACCAAUCAAUGAGCGAGCGCCGGCUCCCUGGUUUACCAAUCGGAGGAGGGGGUGUGGCUUAGGCGAAUUUGAAUGAAGAGUGGAGCUUUCGGCGCCAUUUUCGAGUAAGCAGCGGCAGCGGACGCGGCGGAGGUCGGUUAUUUGCUUCACCGCUAACGGGCUCGGAGAACGCGGAUGCUGUAGCACUUUUUGGCGUUUCGCCUUUAAGGAAAAUGUGUGAAGGAAGUGUACUCAGAUUCGGCCCGGGUGUGGGAGCUUUGCAGGCCCGCAUUAAUGGAGAGAGUCCGCGAAGAGCAACUUAAAACUGAGAGGAGGAAAAGGAGGAGGAGGAGGAGGAGGAGGAGGAGGAGGAGGAGGAGGAGGAGGCGGCGACGGUUGGCGAAGUGGAGGCUGAAGAUACGGUACCGUUAGCUUAGCGGCGCUAAUCCUGCUAGCAUCGCCCAGGCAGCGUCGACAGUGCGCUUCUGAGUCUAAAAAUAACGAUUUAGAGACGGAAAACGCUCGAAACGCGGACGGACUGCUCCAAAAACCGGCGGGAUGCUUCAGCGGAGCCGGGUUGUGAGGCGAAGGCGGAGAUGUCACUGUCCGUUUAGCGGAGUUUGGCUUGUUUUUUGGGGCAUUUUUCAAAAACGUGCAGUUUGAGCGCGAUUGGAGAAGCAGAGGAGACGGCAGAGCCCUGACAGCCUAUCAGCACCGACACACACCGGCAGUACAGAGAGCGGAGUAGGAGCCUGAGAUUCACAGAUUUUUCUUUUCAUUUUUGCUUUCAAUGAUUAAAGAAGACUGUCUGACUCAUUGUUUUGGAUUUACACUUACAUUACAAAGGAAUGAGAGAUCCAAUCAGCCGAUGGAGUCGUGGAAUGUCCUGAGCCCUGCAAUGAAGCAGAGAAAGAGAGCGAGCAGGGUGUGUGUGUGUGUGUGUGAGAAGGAGAAUGAGUGAGUGACCCUUUUCAGGUGGUGGUGUAGCAGCACAGAAUGGUUUGUGGUGAUACAGAGAUGCAGGCCAUGCUGUGCUGCAUCAUCAGUGCCUUGGAACUACACUGUGUGUGUGUUUGUAUGUGUUUGUAUGUGUGUUGUCUUGCUUUAGCAGCAUGUAAAUAUUGGAGUUACAACAUGGCAGAUGCCUCCAGUAUGCUCGUGCUGCUGAAGCAAGAAGUCACCAGUCGGCACAAGCUCAUUUGUCCCUGUAACGGCGUUGACGGCCCUUGGCUGGUGUCGGCCGCAGCUGACUCACCCGCACUGGAUUAUCUUCAUCACCAACAUACAGCCUUAAUCACACGUCCAGCUCUGGUGAGCAGAAGCAGCACCCAGCUUCUUCAACACAAGCCUGCUGGUUAAAGGUAAAAGUGGAGAGAUGGAACAAGAGUGUAAUUUUCAUUAUUAUUAUUAUUAUUUUUUCAUAUAAUUUUUUGUAGAGCUGGGUGAUAUUCCUUUGGUACCUGGAAAAGUGCCGUAUUACUUAUGUAAACAAAAGCACAUGUUUUUGAAAAUGUAUUCAAUUACUCUGUUUUUAUGCAUUUUUGCACCUUAUAAGAAAAAGGCAUGCCAUAGAUAUGUUCUGUUUAUUAUAUUUAAGCCAGAUAAAGAUCCCCUCUAGUGAAUGUUUUUGAGAAAUAGUCCAAAACCAAGCUCUAUCGGGAUAUUUUCUUCUUUACUGUAUGAACACUUAUAUAUGAUGAUAUUGCGAUUUUUAUAUUUGAGAUUAUUGUAAUAGAAUUUUUAAAUAUCACCAAGCUCUACUUUCUUGUGAUUUGUUAUUGUGUGUAUGUUCUGAAAGGUCACUUUUUUGUUCUCUUUCUGUAUAAAGUCUUGCAAUUUCCCCAUUAAAAGCUUAAAUUCCUUGUUUGAAAA